GGGGAUGCCGGGCCUUGAAAAGGAAUACAAAGGGUUGCUUGCGAGCCGAGGAUGGCUGCCUUCCUCGUUAAUCUUUGUAGCCAACCAAAUAAGUGCAAACUUAUUGACAAAGGGGUCUUUGCGCCCCUCAUACGCCUACGCCUAAUUGGCAUGUAGGCCAUCCUGCCCCGAUGCUCGAUAGGGGGUUUAGGGUGUUAUAAUCGAGCUAGCCAAGCACCUACCCAAUUGCUUGCGCGAAAUAUUUGAGCUGCGGCAAUUAUAGAUUCUGUCCGUCUCCUACCGUAAUUGCCAAAGAAACACAAGAUGGACUACGCUCGUACACAGGCCCCGGCGCAUUCUUUUGACGUGGGUUCAACUCCCACCAUCUCCACAU
rnacentral:tmRNA from 2 species